GGGGAAUCUUGCGCAAUGGGCGAAAGCCUGACGCAGCCAUGCCGCGUGAAUGAUGAAGGUCUUAGGAUUGUAAAAUUCUUUCACCGGGGACGAUAAUGACGGUACCCGGAGAAGAAGCCCCGGCUAACUUCGUGCCAGCAGCCGCGGUAAUACGAAGGGGGCUAGCGUUGCUCGGAAUUACUGGGCGUAAAGGGAGCGUAGGCGGACUGUUAAGUUAGAGGUGAAAGCCCAGGGCUCAACCUUGGAAUUGCCUUUGAUACUGGCAGUCUUGAGUACGGAAGAGGUAUGUGGAACUCCGAGUGUAGAGGUGAAAUUCGUAGAUAUUCGGAAGAACGCCAGUGGCGAAGGCGACAUACUGGUCCGUUACUGACGCUGAGGCUCGAAAGCGUGGGGAGCAAAC
rnacentral:rRNA from 1 species